UGGGGAAUAUUGCACAAUGGGCGCAAGCCUGAUGCAGCCAUGCCGCGUGUAUGAAGAAGGCCUUCGGGUUGUAAAGUACUUUCAGCGGGGAGGAAGGGAGUAAAGUUAAUACCUUUGCUCAUUGACGUUACCCGCAGAAGAAGCACCGGCUAACUCCGUGCCAGCAGCCGCGGUAAUACGGAGGGUGAAAGCGUUAAUCGGAAUUACUGGGCGUAAAGCGCACGCAGGCGGUUUGUUAAGUCAGAUGUGAAAUCCUCGGGCUCAACCUGGGAACUGCAUCUGAUACUGGCAAGCUUGAGUCUCGUAGAGGGGGGUAGAAUUCCAGGUGUAGCGGUGAAAUGCGUAGAGAUGUGGAGGAAUACCGGUGGCGAAGGCGGCCCCCUGGACAAAGACUGACGCUCAGGUGCGAAAGCGUGGGGAGCAAACAGG
rnacentral:rRNA from 1 species